rnacentral:rRNA from 1 species
UACGUAGGGUGCAAGCGUUGUCCGGAAUUAUUGGGCGUAAAGAGCUCGUAGGCGGUUUGUCGCGUCUGCUGUGAAAACGCGAGGCUCAACCUCGCGCCUGCAGUGGGUACGGGCAGACUGGAGUGCGGUAGGGGAGAUUGGAAUUCCUGGUGUAGCGGUGGAAUGCGCAGAUAUCUGGAGGAACACCGGUGGCGAAGGCGGGUCUCUGGGCAGUAACUGACGCUGAGGAGUGAAAGCGUGGGGAGCGAACAGG